GACGAACGCUGGCGGCGUGCUUAACACAUGCAAGUCGAACGAAGAGCGACGGAAGCUUGCUUCUAUCAAUCUUAGUGGCGCACGGGUGAGUAACGCGUAAUCAACCUGCCCUUCAGAGGGGGACAACAGUUGGAAACGACUGCUAAUACCGCAUACGAUCUAACCUCGGCAUCGAGGAUAGAUGAAAGGUGGCCUCUACAUGUAAGCUAUCACUGAAGGAGGGGAUUGCGUCUGAUUAGCUAGUUGGAGGGGUAACGGCCCACCAAGGCGAUGAUCAGUAGCCGGUCUGAGAGGAUGAACGGCCACAUUGGGACUGAGACACGGCCCAGACUCCUACGGGAGGCAGCAGUGGGGAAUCUUCCGCAAUGGACGAAAGUCUGACGGAGCAACGCCGCGUGAGUGAUGACGGCCUUCGGGUUGUAAAGCUCUGUUAAUCGGGGCGAAAGGCCUUCUUGCGAAUAGUGAGAAGGAUUGACGGUACCGGAAUAGAAAGCCACGGCUAACUACGUG
rnacentral:rRNA from 1 species